GCCCUUAUCGUCUAGAGGCCUAGGACACCAGGUUCUCAUCCUGGGAACAUCGGUUCGAAUCCGGUUAGGGGCGCCA
rnacentral:tRNA from 1 species